GUACGUGUUAGCCUUCGGUAUUAUUGAAAAUGGUCAUUCAUGGCUAUUUUCGGCAAAAUGGGGGUUGUGUGGCCAUUGAUCAUCGACCAGAGGCUCAUACACCUCACCCCACAUAUGUUUCCUUGCAUAGAUCACAUUCUUGGAUUUCUGGUGGAGACCAUUUCUUGGUCAAAAACCGUAGGUGUUAGCCUUCGUAUUAUUGAAAAUGGUCGUUCAUGGCUAUUUUCGACAAAAAUGGGGGUUGUGUGGCCAUUGAUCAUCGACCAGAGGCUCAUACACCUCACCCCACAUAUGUUUCCUUGCCAUAGAUCACAUUCUUGGAUUUCUGGUGGAGACCAUUUCUUGGUCAAAAAUCCGUAGUGUUAGCCUUCGGUAUUAUUGAAAAUGGUCGUUCAUGGCUAUUUUCGGCAAAAUGGGGGUUGUGUGGCCAUUGAUCAUCGACCAGAGGCUCAUACACCUCACCCCACAUAUGUUUCCUUGCCAUAGAUCACAUUCUUGGAUUUCUGGUGGAGACCAUUUCUUGGUCAAAAAUCCGUAGGUGUUAGCCUUCGGUAUUAUUGAAAAUGGUCGUUCAUGGCUAUUUUCGGCAAAAUGGGGGUUUUGUGGCCAUUGAUCAUCGACCAGAGGCUCGUACACCUCACCCCACAUAUGUUUCCUUGCCAUAGAUCACAUUCUUGGAUUUCUGGUGGAGACCAUUUCUUGGUCAAAAAUCCGUAGGUGUUAGCCUUCGGUAUUAUUGAAAAUGGUCGUUCAUGGCUAUUUUCGACAAAAAUGGGGGUUGUGUGGCCAUUGAUCAUCGACCAGAGGCUCAUACACCUCACCCCACAUAUGUUUCCUGCCAUAGAUCACAUUCUUGGAUUUCUGGUGGAGACCAUUUCUUGGUCAAAAAUCCGUAGGUUUAGCCUCUAUAUUAUUGAAAAUGGUCGCUCAUGGCUAUUUUCGGCAAAAUGGGGGUUCUGUGGCCAUUGAUCGUCGACCAGAGGCUCAUACACCUCACCCCACAUAUGUUUCCUUGUCGUAGAUCACAUUCUUGGAUUUCUGGUGGAGACCAUUUCUUGGUCAAAAAUCCGUAGGUGUUAGCCUUCGAUAUUAUUGAAAAUGGUCGUUCAUGGCUAUUUUCGACAAAAAUGGGGGUUGUGUGGCCAUUGAUCAUCGACCAGAGGCUCAUACACCUCACCCCACAUAUGUUUCCUUGCCAUAGAUCACAUUCUUGGAUUUCUGGUGGAGACCAUUUCUUGGUCAAAAAUCUGUAGGUGUUAGCCUUCGGUAUUAUUGAAAAUGGUCGUUCAUGGCUAUUUUCGACAAAAAUGGGGGUUGUGUGGCCAUUGAUCAUCGACCAGACGCUCAUACACCUCACCCCACAUAUGUUUCCUUGCCAUAGAUCACAUUCUUGGAUUUCUGGUGGAGACCAUUUCUUGGUCUAAAAUCCGUAGGUGUUAGCCUCUAGUAUUAUUGAAAAUGGUCGCUCAUGGCUAUUUUCAAGGUCGCUCAUGGCUAUUUUCAUAAAAAAUGGGGGUUGUGUGGCCAUUUUCAUCGACUAGAGGUUCAUAAACCUCACCCCACAUAUGUUUCCUUGCCAUAGAUCACAUUCUUGGAUUUCUGGUGGAGACCAUUUCUUGGUCAAAAAUCCGUACGUGUUAGCCUUUGGUAUUUUUGAAAAUGGUCGUUCAUGGCUUGGUCGAUGAUCAAUGGCCACACAACCCCCAUUUUUUAUGAAAAUAGCCAUGAGCGACCAUUUUCAAUAAUACUAGAGGCUAAGACCUACGGAUUUUUGACCAAGAAAUGGUCUCCACCAGAAAUCCAAGAAUGUGAUCUAUGGCAAGGAAACAUAUGUGGGGUGAGGUGUAUGAGCCUCUCGUCGAUGAUCAAUGGCCACACAACCCCCAUUUUUGUCGAAAAUAGCCAUGAAUGACCAUUUACAAUAAUACCGAAGGCUAACACCUACGGAUUUUUGACCAAGAAAUGGUCUCCACCAGAAAUCCAAGAAUGUGAUCUAUGGCAAGGAAACAUAUGUGGGGUGAGGUGUAUGAGCCUAUGGUCGAUGAUCAAUGGCCACACAACCCCCAUUUUUGUCGAAAAUAGCCAUGAACGACCAUUUUCAAUAAUAUCGAAGGCUAACACCUACGGAUUUUUGACCAAGAAAUGGUCUCCACCAGAAAUCCAAGAAUGUGAUCUACGACAAGGAAACAUAUGUGGGGUGAGGUGUAUGAGCCUCUGGUCGACGAUCAAUGGCCACACAACCCCCAUUUUGCCGAAAAUAGCCAUGAAUGACCAUUUUCAAUAAUACCGAAGGCUAACACGUACGAGUUUUUAACCAAGAAAUGGUUUCCACCAGAAAUCCAAGAAUGUAAUCUAUGGCAAGGAAACAUAUGUGGGGUGAGGUUUAUGAGCCUCUAGUCGAUGAUAAAUGGCCACACAACCCCAUUUUUAUGAAAAUAGCCAUGAGCGACCUUGAAAAUAGCCAUGAGCGACCAUUUUCAAUAAUACUAGAGGCUAACACCUACGGAUUUUAGACCAAGAAAUGGUCUCCACCAGAAAUCCAAGAAUGUGAUCUAUGGCAAGGAAACAUAUGUGGGGUGAGGUGUAUGAGCGUCUGGUCGAUGAUCAAUGGCCACACAACCCCCAUUUUUGUCGAAAAUAGCCAUGAACGACCAUUUUCAAUAAUACCGAAGGCUAACACCUACGGAUUUUUGACCAAGAAAUGGUCUCCACCAGAAAUCCAAGAAUGUGAUCUAUGGCAAGGAAACAUAUGUGGGGUGAGAUUUAUGAGCCUCUAGUCGAUGAUAAAUGGCCACACAACCCCCAUUUUUUAUGAAAAUAGCCAUGAGCGACCAUUUUCAAUAAUAUUAGAGGCUAAGACCUACGGAUUUUUGACCAAGAAAUGGUCUCCACCAGAAAUCUAAGAAUGUGAUCUAUGGCAAGGAAACAUAUGUGGGGUGAGGUGUAUGAGCCUCUGGUCGAUGAUCAAUGGCCACACAACCCCCAUUUUUGUCGAAAAUGGCCAUGAACGACCAUUUUCAAUAAUAUCGAAGGCUAACACCUACGGAUUUUUGACCAAGAAAUGGUCUCCACCAGAAAUCCAAGAAUGUGAUCUAUGGCAAGGAAACAUAUGUGGGGUGAGGUGUACGAGCCUCUGGUCGAUGAUCAAUGGCCACACAACCCCCAAUUUUUAUGAAAAUAGCCAUGAGAGACCAUUUUCAAUAAUACUAGAGGCUAAGACCUACGGAUUUUUGACCAAGAAAUGGUCUCCACCAGAAAUCCAAGAAUGUGAUCUAUGGCAAGGAAACAUAUGUGGGGUGAGGUGUAUGAGCCUCUGGUCGAUGAUCAAUGGCCACACAACCCCCAUUUUUGUCGAAAAUAGCCAUGAAUGACCAUUUACAAUAAUACCGAAGGCUAACACCUACGGAUUUUUGACCAAGAAAUGGUCUCCACCAGAAAUCCAAGAAUGUGAUCUAUGGCAAGGAAACAUAUGUGGGGUGAGGUGUAUGAGCCUCUAGUCGAUGAUCAAUGGCCACACAACCCCCAUUUUUGUCGAAAAUAGCCAUGAAUGACCAUUUUCAAAAAUACCAAAGGCUAACACCUACGGAUUUUUGACCAAGAAAUGGUCUCCACCAGAAAUCCAAGAAUGUGAUCUAUGGCAAGGAAACAUAUGUGGGGUGAGGUGUAUGAGCCUCUGGUCGAUGAUCAAUUGCCACACAACCCCCAUUUUGUCGAAAAUAGCCAUGAACGACCAUUUUCAAUAAUACCGAAGGCUAACACCUACGGAUUUUUGACCAAGAAAUGGUCUCCACCAGAAAUCCAAGAAUGUGAUCUACGACAAGGAAACAUAUGUGGGGUGAGGUGUAUGAGCCUCUGGUCGACGAUCAAUGGCCACACAACCCCCAUUUUGCCGAAAAUAGCCAUGAAUGACCAUUUUCAAUAAUACCGAAGGCUAACACGUACGAGUUUUUAACCAAGAAAUGGUUUCCACCAGAAAUCCAAGAAUGUAAUCUAUGGCAAGGAAACAUAUGUGGGGUGAGGUCUAUGAGCCUCUAGUCGAUGAUAAAUGGCCACACAACCCCCAUUUUUAUGAAAAUAGCCAUGAGCGACCUUGAAAAUAGCCAUGAGCGACCAUUUUCAAUAAUACUAGAGGCUAACACCUACGGAUUUUAGACCAAGAAAUGGUCUCCACCAGAAAUCCUAGAAUGUGAUCUAUUGCAAGGAAACAUAUGGGGGUGAGGUGGACGAGCCUCUGGUCGAUGAUCAAUGGCCACACAACCCCCAUUUUUGUCGAAAAUAGCCAUGAACGAUCAUUUACAAUAAUACCGAAGGCUAACACCUACGGAUUUUUGACCAAGAAAUGGUCUCCACCAGAAAUCCAAGAAUGUGAUCUAUGGCAAGGAAACAUAUGUGGGGUGAGGUUUAUGAGCCUCUAGUCGAUGAUAAAUGGCCACACAACCCCCAUUUUUUAUGAAAAUAGCCAUGAGCGACCUUGAAAAUAGCCAUGAGCGACCAUUUUCAAUAAUACUAGAGGCUAACACCUACGGAUUUUAGACCAAGAAAUGGUCUCCACCAGAAAUCCAAGAAUGUGAUCUAUGGCAAGGAAACAUAUGUGGGGUGAGGUGUAUGAGCGUCUGGUCGAUGAUCAAUGGCCACACAACCCCCAUUUUUGUCGAAAAUAGCCAUGAACGACCAUUUUCAAUAAUACCGAAGGCUAACACCUACGGAUUUUUGACCAAGAAAUGGUCUCCACCAGAAAUCCAAGAAUGUGAUCUAUGGCAAGGAAACAUAUGUGGGGUGAGGUGUAUGAGCCUCUGGUCGAUGAUCAUUGGCCACACAACCCCCAUUUUUGUCGAAAAUAGCCAUGAACGACCAUUUUCAAUAAUAUCGAAGGCUAACACCUACGGAUUUUUGACCAAGAAAUGGUCUCCACCAGAAAUCCAAGAAUGUGAUCUACGACAAGGAAACAUAUGUGGGGUGAGGUGUAUGAGCCUCUGGUCGACGAUCAAUGGCCACACAACCCCCAUUUUGCCGAAAAUAGCCAUGAAUGACCAUUUUCAAUAAUAUCGAAGGCUAACACCUACGGAUUUUUGACCAAGAAAUGGUCUCCACCAGAAAUCCAAGAAUGUGAUCUACGACAAGGAAACAUAUGUGGGGUGAGGUGUAUGAGCCUCUGGUCGACGAUCAAUGGCCACACAACCCCCAUUUUGCCGAAAAUAGCCAUGAAUGACCAUUUUCAAUAAUACCGAAGGCUAACACGUACGAGUUUUUAACCAAGAAAUGGUUUCCACCAGAAAUCCAAGAAUGUAAUCUAUGGCAAGGAAACAUAUGUGGGGUGAGGUGUAUGAGCCUCUAGUCGAUGAUAAAUGGCCACACAACCCCCAUUUUUUAUGAAAAUAGCCAUGAGCGACCUUGAAAAUAGCCAUGAGCGACCAUUUUCAAUAAUACUAGAGGCUAACACCUACGGAUUUUGACCAAGAAAGGUCUCCACCAGAAAUCCAAGAAUGUGAUCUAUGGCAAGGAAACAUAUGUGGGGUGAGGUGUAUGAGCGUCUGGUCGAUGAUCAAUGGCCACACAACCCCCAUUUUUGUCGAAAAUAGCCAUGAACGACCAUUUUCAAUAAUACCGAAGGCUAACACCUACGGAUUUUUGACCAAGAAAUGGUCUCCACCAGAAAUCCAAGAAUGUGAUCUAUGGCAAGGAAACAUAUGUGGGGUGAGGUGUAUGAGCCUCUAGUCGAUGAUCAAUGGCCACACAACCCCCAUUUUUGUCGAAAAUAGCCAUGAAUGACCAUUUUCAAAAAUACCAAAGGCUAACACGUACGGAUUUUUGACCAAGAAAUGGUCUCCACCAGAAAUCCAAGAAUGUGAUCUAUGGCAAGGAAACAUAUGUGGGGUGAGGUGUACGAGCCUCUGGUCGAUGAUCAAUGGCCACACAACCCCCAUUUUUGUCGAAAAUAGCCAUGAAUGACCAUUUUCAAUAAUACCGAAGGCUAACACGUACGAGUUUUUAACCAAGAAAUGGUUUCCACCAGAAAUCCAAGAAUGUAAUCUAUGGCAAGGAAACAUAUGUGGGGUGAGGUGUAUGAGCCUCUGGUCGAUGAUCAAUGGCCACACACCCCCAUUUUUAUGAAAAUAGCCAUGAGCGACCAUUUUCAAUAAUACUAGAGGCUAAGACCUACGGAUUUUUAACCAAGAAAUGGUCUCCACCAGAAAUCCAAGAAUGUGAUCUACGACAAGGAAACAUAUGUGGGGUGAGGUGUAUGAGCGUCUGGUCGACGAUCAAUGGCCACACAACCCCCAUUUUUGUCGAAAAUAGCCAUGAACGACCAUUUUCAAUAAUACCAAGGCUAACACCUACGGAUUUUUGACCAAGAAAUGGUCGGGGUGAGGUUUACGAGCCUCUGGUCGAUGAUCAAUGGCCACACAACCCCAUUUUUAUGAAAAUAGCCAUACGACCUUGAAAAUAGCCAUGACGACCAUUUUCAAUAAUACUAGAGGCUAACACCUACGGAUUUUAGACCAAGAAAUGGUUCCACCAGAAAUCCAAGAAUGUGAUCUAUGGCAAGGAAACAUAUGUGGGGUGAGGUGUAUGAGCCUCUGGUCGACGAUCAAUGGCCACACAACCCCCAUUUUGCCGAAAAUAGCCAUGAAUGACCAUUUUCAAUAAUACGAAGGCUAACACCUACGGAUUUUUGACCAAGAAAUGGUCUCCACCAGAAAUCCAAGAAUGUGAUCUAUGGCAAGGAAACAUAUGUGGGGUGAGGUGUAUGAGCCUCUGGUCGACGAUCAAUGGCCACACAACCCCAUUUUUGUCGAAAAUAGCCAUGAACGACCAUUUUCAAUAAUACGAAGGCUAACACCUACGGAUUUUUGACCAAGAAAUGGUCUCCACCAGAAAUCCAAGAAUGUGAUCUAUGGCAAGGAAACAUAUGUGGGUGAGGUGUAUGAGCCUCUGGUCGAGAUCAAUGGCCACACAACCCCCAUUUUUGUCGAAAAUAGCCAUGAAUGACCAUUUUCAAAAUACAAGGCUAACACCUACGGAUUUUUGACCAAGAAAUGGUCUCCACCAGAAAUCCAAGAAUGUGAUCUAUGGCAAGGAAACAUAUGUGGGGUGAGGUGUAUGAGCCUCUGGUCGAUGAUCAAUGGCCACACAACCCCCAUUUUGUCGAAAAUAGCCAUGAACGACCAUUUUCAAUAAUACCGAAGGCUAACACCUACGGAUUUUUGACCAAGAAAUGGUCUCCACCAGAAAUCCAAGAAUGUGAUCUAUGGCAAGGAAACAUAUGUGGGGUGAGGUGUAUGAGCCUCUGGUCGAUGAUCAAUGGCCACACAACCCCCAUUUUUGUCGAAAAUAGCCAUGAACGACCAUUUUCAAUAAUACCGAAGGCUAACACCUACGGAUUUUUGACCAAGAAAUGGUCUCCACCAGAAAUCCAAGAAUGUGAUCUAUGGCAAGGAAACAUAUGUGGGGUGAGGUGUAUGAGCCUCUGGUCGAUGAUCAAUGGCCACACAACCCCCAUUUUUGUCGAAAAUAGCCAUGAACGACCAUUUUCAAUAAUACGAAGGCUAACACUACGAUUUUUAACCAAGAAAUGGUUCCACCAGAAAUCCAAGAAUGUAUCUAUGGCAAGGAAACAUAUGUGGGGUGAGGUGUAUGAGCCUCUGGUCGAUGAUCAAUGGCCACACAACCCCAUUUUUUGAAAAUAGCCAUGAACGACCAUUUUCAAUAAUACAAGGCUAACACCUACGGAUUUUGACCAAGAAAUGGUCUCCACCAGAAAUCCAAGAAUGUGAUCUAUGGCAAGGAAACAUAUGUGGGGUGAGGUGUAUGAGCUCUGGUCGAUGAUCAAUGGCCACACAACCCCCAUUUUUGUCGAAAAUAGCCAUGAACGACCAUUUUCAAUAAUACAAGGCUAACACCUACGGAUUUUGACCAAGAAAUGGUUCCACCAGAAAUCCAAGAAUGUGAUCUAUGGCAAGGAAACAUAUGUGGGGUGAGGUGUAUGAGCCUCUGGUCGAGAUCAAUGGCCACACAACCCCAUUUUGCGAAAAUAGCCAUGAAGACCAUUUUCAAUAAUACGAAGGCUAACACUACGGAUUUUUGACCAAGAAAUGGUCUCCACCAGAAAUCCAAGAAUGUGAUCUAUGGCAAGGAAACAUAUGUGGGGUGAGGUGUAUGAGCCUCUGGUCGAGAUCAAUGGCCACACAACCCCAUUUUUGUCGAAAAUAGCCAUGAACGACCAUUUUCAAUAAUGAAGGCUAACACCUACGGAUUUUUGACCAAGAAAUGGUCUCCACCAAAAUCCAAGAAUGUGAUCUAUGGCAAGGAAACAUAUGUGGUGAGGUGUAUGAGCCUCUGGUCGAGAUCAAUGGCCACACAACCCCCAUUUUGUCGAAAAUAGCCAUGAAGACCAUUUUCAAAAUACCAAGGCUAACACACGGAUUUUGCCAAGAAAUGGUCUCCACCAGAAAUCCAAGAAUGUGAUCUAUGGCAAGGAAACAUAUGUGGGGUGAGGUGUAGAGCCUCUGGUCGAUGAUCAAUGCCACAAACCCCCAUUUUGCGAAAAUAGCCAUGAACGACCAUUUUCAAUAAUACCGAAGGCUAACACCUACGGAUUUUUGACCAAGAAAUGGUCUCCACCAGAAAUCCAAGAAUGUAUCUAUGGCAAGGAAACAUAUGUGGGGUGAGGUGUAUGAGCUCUGGUCGACGAUCAAUGGCCACACAACCCCCAUUUUUGUCGAAAAUAGCCAUGAACGACCAUUUUCAAUAAUACGAAGGCUAACACCUACGGAUUUUUGACCAAGAAAUGGUCUCCACCAAAAUCCAAGAAUGUGAUCUAUGGCAAGGAAACAUAUGUGGGGUGAGGUGUAUGAGCUCUGGUCGAUGAUCAAUGGCCACACAACCCCAUUUUUGUCGAAAAUAGCCAUGAACGACAUUUCAAUAAUACGAAGGCUAACACUACGAUUUUAACCAAGAAAUGGUUCCACCAGAAAUCCAAGAAUGUAUCUAUGGCAAGGAAACAUAUGUGGGUGAGGUUAUGAGCCUCUGGUCGAUGAUAAUGGCCACACAACCCAUUUUUGAAAAUAGCCAUGAACGACCAUUUUCAAUAAUACAGAGGCUAACACCUACGGAUUUUAGACCAAGAAAUGGUCUCCACCAGAAAUCCAAGAAUGUGAUCUAUGGCAAGGAAACAUAUGUGGGGUGAGGUGUAUGAGCGUCUGGUCGAUGAUCAAUGGCCACAAACCCCAUUUUGCGAAAAUAGCCAUGAAGACAUUUCAAUAAUACGAAGGCUAACACUACGAUUUUGACCAAGAAAUGGUCUCACCAGAAAUCCAAGAAUGUGAUCUAUGCAAGGAAACAUAUGUGGGUGAGGUGUAUGAGCCUGGUCGAUGAUCAAUGGCACACAACCCCAUUUUGUCGAAAAUAGCCAUGAACGACCAUUUCAAUAAUAUCGAAGGCUAACUGGGGUUGUGUGGCCAUUGAUCGUCGACCAGAGGCUCAUACACCUCACCCCACAUAUGUUUCCUUGUCGUAGAUCACAUUCUUGGAUUUCUGGUGGAGACCAUUUCUUGGUCAAAAAUCCGUAGGUGUUAGCCUUCGAUAUUAUUGAAAAUGGUCGAUCAUGGCUAUUUUCGACAAAAAUGGGGGUUGUGUGGCCAUUGAUCAUCGACCAGAGGCUCAUACACCUCACCCCACAUAUGUUUCCUUGCCAUAGAUCACAUUCUUGGAUUUCUGGUGGAGACCAUUUCUUGGUCAAAAAUCCGUAGGUGUUAGCCUUCGGUAUUAUUGAAAAUGGUCGUUCAUGGCUAUUUUCGACAAAAAUGGGGGUUGUGUGGCCAUUGAUCAUCGACCAGACGCUCAUACACCUCACCCCACAUAUGUUUCCUUGCCAUAGAUCACAUUCUUGGAUUUCUGGUGGAGACCAUUUCUUGGUCUAAAAUCCGUAGGUGUUAGCCUCUAGUAUUAUUGAAAAUGGUCGUUCAUGGCUAUUUUCGACAAAAAUUAGGGUUGUGUGGCCAUUGAUCAUCGACCAGAGGCUCAUACACCUCACCCCACAUAUGUUUCCUUGCCAUAGAUCACAUUCUUGGAUUUCUGGUGGAAACCAUUUCUUGGUUAAAAACUCGUACGUGUUAGCCUUCGGUAUUAUUGAAAAUGGUCAUUCAUGGCUAUUUUCGGCAAAAUGGGGGUUGUGUGGCCAUUGAUCGUCGACCAGAGGCUCAUACACCUCACCCCACAUAUGUUUCCUUGUCGUAGAUCACAUUCUUGGAUUUCUGGUGGAGACCAUUUCUUGGUCAAAAAUCCGUAGGUGUUAGCCUUCGAUAUUAUUGAAAAUGGUCGUUCAUGGCUAUUUUCGACAAAAAUGGGGGUUGUGUGGCCAUUGAUCAUCGACCAGACGCUCAUACACCUCACCCACAUAUGUUUCCUUGCCAUAGAUCACAUUCUUGGAUUUCUGGUGGAGACCAUUUCUUGGUCAAAAAUCUGUACGUGUUAGCCUUUGGUAUUUUGAAAAUGGUCAUUCAUGGCUAUUUUCGACAAAAAUGGGGGUUGUGUGGCCAUUGAUCAUCGACUAGAGGCUCAUACACCUCACCCCACAUAUGUUUCCUUGCCAUAGAUCACAUUCUUGGAUUUCUGGUGGAGACCAUUUCUUGGUCAAAAAUCCGUAGGUGUUAGCCUUCGGUAUUAUUGAAAAUGGUCGUUCAUGGCUAUUUUCGGCAAAAUGGGGGUUGUGUGGCCAUUGAUCGUCGACCAGAGGCUCAUACACCUCACCCCACAUAUGUUUCCUUGUCGUAGAUCACAUUCUUGGAUUUCUGGUGGAGACCAUUUCUUGGUCAAAAAUCCGUAGGUGUUAGCCUUCGGUAUUAUUGAAAAUGGUCGUUCAUGGCUAUUUUCGACAAAAAUGGGGGUUGUGUGGCCAUUGAUCAUCGACCAGACGCUCAUACACCUCACCCCACAUAUGUUUCCUUGCCAUAGAUCGCAUUCUUGGAUUUCUGGUGGAGACCAUUUCUUGGUCAAAAAUCCGUACGUGUUACCUUCGGUAUGAUUGAAAAUGGAGGUUGUGUGACCAUUGAUCAUCGACCAGAGGCUCAUACACCUCACCCCACAUAUGUUUCCUUGUCGUAGAUCACAUUCUUGGAUUUCUGGUGGAGACCAUUUCUUGGUCAAAAAUCCGUAGGUGUUAGCCUUCGGUAUUAUUGAAAAUGGUCGUUCAUGGCUAUUUUCGACAAAAAUGGGGGUUGUGUGGCCAUUGAUCAUCGACCAGAGGCUCAUACACCUCACCCCACAUAUGUUUCCUUGCCAUAGAUCACAUUCUUGGAUUUCUGGUGGAGACCAUUUCUUGGUCAAAAAUCCGUAGGUGUUAGCCUUCGGUAUUAUUGAAAAUGGUCGUUCAUGGCUAUUUUCGACAAAAAUGGGGGUUGUGUGGCCAUUGAUCAUCGACCAGACGCUCAUACACCUCACUACACAUAUGUUUCCUUGCCAUAGAUCACAUUCUUGGAUUUAUGGUGGAGACCAUUUCUUGGUCAAAAAUCCGUAGGUGUUAGCCUUCGGUAUUAUUGAAAAUGGUCGUUCAUGGCUAUUUUCGACAAAAUGGGGGUUGUGUGGCAUUGAUCAUCGACCAGAGGCUCAUACACCUCACCCCACAUAUGUUUCCUUGCCAUAGAUCACAUUCUUGGAUUUCUGGUGGAGACCAUUUCUUGGGCAAAAAUCCGAAUGUGUUAGCCUUUGGUAUUUUGAAAAUGGUCAUUCAUGGCUAUUUUCGACAAAAAUGGGGGUUGUGUGGCCAUUGAUCUCGACCAGAGGCUCAUACACCUCACUACACAUAUGUUUCCUUGCCAUAGAUCACAUUCUUGGAUUUAUGGUGGAGACCAUUUCUUGGUCAAAAAUCCGUAGGUGUUAGCCUUCAGUGUCAUUGAAAAUGGUCGUUCAUGGCUAUUUUCGACAAAAAUAGGGUUGUGUGGCCAUUGAUCGUCGACCAGAGGCUCAUACACCUCACCCCACAUAUGUUUCCUUGCCAUAGAUCACAUUCUUGGAUUUCUGGUGGAGACCAUUUCUUGGUCAAAAAUCCGUAGGUGUUAGCCUUCGGUAUUAUUGAAAAUGGUCAUUCAUGGCUAUUUUCGGCAAAAAUGGGGGUUGUGUGGCCAUUGAUCAUCGACCAGAGGCUCAUACACCUCACCCCACAUAUGUUUCCUUGCCAUAGAUCACAUUCUUGGAUUUCUGGUGGAAACCAUUUCUUGGUCUAAAAUCCGUAGGUGUUAGCCUCUAGUAUUAUUGAAAAUGGUCGCUCAUGGCUAUUUUCAAGGUCGCUCAUGGCUAUUUCAUAAAAAUGGGGGUUGUGUGGCCAUUGAUCAUCGACCAGAGGCUCGUAACCUCACCCGACCAUUUCUUGGUCAAAAAUCCGUAGGUGUUAGCCUUUGGUAUUAUUGAAAAUGGUCGUUCAUGGCUAUUUUCGACAAAAAUGGGGUUGUGUGGCCAUUGAUCGUCGACCAGACGCUCAUACACCUCACCCCACAUAUGUUUCCUUGUCGUAGAUCACAUUCUUGGAUUUCUGGUGGAGACCAUUUCUUGGUUAAAAAUCCGUAGGUCUUAGCCUCUAGUAUUAUUGAAAAUGGUCGCUCAUGGCUAUUUUCAUAAAAAUGGGGGCUGUGUGGCCAUUGAUCAUCGACCAGAGGCUCAUACACCUCACCCCACAUAUGUUUCCUUGCCAUAGAUUACAUUCUUGGAUUUCUGGUGGAAACCAUUUCUUGGUUAAAAACUCGUACGUGUUAGCCUUCGGUAUUAUUGAAAAUGGUCAUUCAUGGCUAUUUUCGACAAAAAUGGGGGUUGUGUGGCCAUUGAUCAUCGACCAGAGGCUCAUACACCUCACCCCACAUAUGUUUCCUUGCCAUAGAUCACAUUCUUGGAUUUCUGGUGGAGACCAUUUCUUGGUCAAAAAUCCGUACGUGUUAGCCUUUGGUAUUUUUGAAAAUGGUCAUUCAUGGCUAUUUUCGACAAAAAUGGGGGUUGUGUGGCCAUUGAUCAUCGACUAGAGGCUCAUACACCUCACCCCACAUAUGUUUCCUUGCCAUAGAUCACAUUCUUGGAUUUCUGGUGGAGACCAUUUCUUGGUCAAAAAUCCGUAGGUGUUAGCCUUCGGUAUUAUUGAAAAUGGUCGUUCAUGGCUAUUUUCGACAAAAAUGGGGGUUGUGUGGCCAUUGAUCAUCGACCAGACGCUCAUACACCUCACCCCACAUAUGUUUCCUUGCCAUAGAUCACAUUCUUGGAUUUCUGGUGGAGACCAUUUCUUGGUCAAAAUCCGUAGGUGUUAGCCUCUAGUAUUAUUGAAAAUGGUCGUAUCAUUCAUGGCUAUUUUCAUAAAAAAUGGGGGUUGUGUGGCCAUUUAUCAUCGACUAGAGGCUCAUACACCUCACCCCACAUAUGUUUCCUUGCCAUAGAUUACAUUCUUGGAUUUCUGGUGGAAACCAUUUCUUGGUUAAAAACUCGUACGUGUUAGCCUUCGGUAUUAUUGAAAAUGGUCAUUCAUGGCUAUUUUCGGCAAAAUGGGGGUUGUGUGGCCAUUGAUCGUCGACCAGAGGCUCAUACACCUCACCCCACAUAUGUUUCCUUGCCAUAGAUCACAUUCUUGGAUUUCUGGUGGAGACCAUUUCUUGGUCAAAAAUCCGUAGGUGUUAGCCUUCGAUAUUAUUGAAAAUGGUCGUUCAUGGCUAUUUUCGGCAAAAUGGGGGUUGUGUGGCCAUUGAUCAUCGACCAGAGGCUCAUACACCUCACCCCACAUAUGUUUCCUUGCCAUAGAUCACAUUCUUGGAUUUCUGGUGGAGACCAUUUCUUGGUCAAAAAUCCGUAGGUGUUAGCCUUCGGUAUUAUUGAAAAUGGUCGUUCAUGGCUAUUUUCGACAAAAAUGGGGGUUGUGUGGCCAUUGAUCAUCGACCAGAGGCUCAUACACCUC
rnacentral:lncRNA from 1 species